rnacentral:rRNA from 1 species
AAGAGACAGCAGCCGCCGCGGUAAUACAGAGGGUGCGAGCGUUAAUCGGAUUUACUGGGCGUAAAGCGUGCGUAGGCGGCUUCUUAAGUCGGAUGUGAAAUCCCUGAGCUUAACUUAGGAAUUGCAUUCGAUACUGGGAAGCUAGAGUAUGGGAGAGGAUGGUAGAAUUCCAGGUGUAGCGGUGAAAUGCGUAGAGAUCUGGAGGAAUACCGAUGGCGAAGGCAGCCAUCUGGCCUAAUACUGACGCUGAGGUACGAAAGCAUGGGGAGCAAACAGGAUUAGAUACCCGAGUAGUCCCUGUCUCUUAUAA